rnacentral:lncRNA from 1 species
CGGUUUCAUUGGAGGUUUUUUGAAGAUCAAGGGAAUUAGAGAGAGGAGCUUCAUGCUUCGGGUCGGGGAAGGAAAGACAUAGAAUUUGGAUUUUUCUUCUUCGUAGAGUUUUAGGAAGACUGAGGCAAUCGCUGCUGAAGUCAGUAUUGUAAUGGUGAAUCGGGAUUUUUAAAUGAAGUGGGUUUGAAUACUCUUGAUUGUUUUGUAAAAUCGAGUUACGUCUGUGA